rnacentral:rRNA from 1 species
AUUGAACGCUGGCGGCAUGCCUUACACAUGCAAGUCGAACGGCAGCAUGAUCUAGCUUGCUAGAUUGAUGGCGAGUGGCGAACGGGUGAGUAAUACAUCGGAACGUGCCCUGUAGUGGGGAUAACUAGUCGAAAGAUUAGCUAAUACCGCAUACGACCUGAGGGUGAAAGUGGGGGACCGCAAGGCCUCAUGCUAUAGGAGCGGCCGAUGUCUGAUUAGCUAGUUGGUGAGGUAAAGGCUCACCAAGGCGACGAUCAGUAGCUGGUCUGAGAGGACGAUCAGCCACACUGGGACUGAGACACGGCCCAGACUCCUACGGGAGGCAGCAGUGGGGAAUUUUGGACAAUGGGCGGAAGCCUGAUCCAGCAAUGCCGCGUGUGUGAAGAAGGCCUUCGGGUUGUAAAGCACUUUUGUCCGGAAAGAAAUGGCUCUGGUUAAUACCUGGGGUCGAUGACGGUACCGGAAGAAUAAGGACCGGCUAACUACGUG